GGAGUUGGCCAGGCAAUCGCGCCAGAACGUUUACGUUUUGGGGAGGAAAGUCCGGGCUCCAUAGGACAGAGUGCCAGGUAACGCCUGGGGGGUGAAAGCCUACGGAAAGUGCAGCAGAAAAUAAACCGCCUGGAUUUAAUCUAGUAUUAAAUCUCGGUAAGGGUGAAAUGGUGUCGGUAAGAGCGCACCGCGCUGGUGGUAACAUCAGUGGCAGGGUAAACCCCACUCAAAGCAAGGCCAAAUAGGGUUCCUUAAAGCCUUUUUAUAAAAGACUUUAUGGCGUGGCUCGCGUU
rnacentral:RNase_P_RNA from 1 species